CCUACGGGAGGCAGCAGUAGGGAAUUUUGCGCAAUGGGCGAAAGCCUGACGCAGCAACGCCGCGUGAUUGAUUAAGCCCUUCGGGGUGUAAAGAUCUGUCAGUGGGGACGAAACUUGACGGUACCCACAGAGGAAGCACCGGCUAACUCCGUGCCAGCAGCCGCGGUAAUACGGAGGGUGCAAGCGUUGUCCGGAAUCAUUGGGCGUAAAGAGUUCGUAGGUGGCAUAUUAAGUCUGGUGUUAAAUGCAGAAGCUCAACUUCUGUUCGGCACUGGAUACUGGUAAGCUUGAAUGCGGUAGAGGUAAAGGGAAUUCCUGGUGUAGCGGUGAAAUGCGUAGAUAUCAGGAGGAACAUCGGUGGCGUAAGCGCUUUACUGGGCCGUAAUUGACACUGAGGAACGAAAGCCGGGGUAGCAAAUGGGAUUAGAUACCCCAGUAGUC
rnacentral:rRNA from 1 species